UACAGAGGGGGCAAGCGUUGUUCGGAAUUACUGGGCGUAAAGGGCGUGUAGGUGGCCUUCUAAGUUGAACGUGAAAUCCCUGGGCUCAACCCAGGAACUGCGUCCAAGACUGGGAGGCUUGAAUCCGGGAGAGGGAUGCGGAAUUCCUGGUGUAGCGGUGAAAUGCGCAGAUAUCAGGAGGAACACCAAUUGCGAAGGCAGCUCGCUGGAACGUAACUGACGCUGAGACGCGAAAGCGUGGGGAGCAAACAGG
rnacentral:rRNA from 1 species